UGAACGCUGGCGGCGUGCCUAAUACAUGCAAGUCGAGCGAACGGACGAGAAGCUUGCUUCUCUGAUGUUAGCGGCGGACGGGUGAGUAACACGUGGAUAACCUACCUAUAAGACUGGGAUAACUUCGGGAAACCGGAGCUAAUACCGGAUAAUAUUUUGAACCGCAUGGUUCAAAGGUAAAAGACGGUCUUGCUGUCACUUAUAGAUGGAUCCGCGCUGCAUUAGCUAGUUGGUAAGGUAACGGCUUACCAAGGCAACGAUGCAUAGCCGACCUGAGAGGGCGAUCGGCCACACUGGAACUGAGACACGGUCCAGACUCCUACGGGAGGCAGCAGUAGGGAAUCUUCCGCAAUGGGCGAAAGCCUGACGGAGCAACGCCGCGUGAGUGAUGAAGGUCUUCGGAUCGUAAAACUCUGUUAUUAGGGAAGAACAUAUGUGUAAGUAACUGUGCACAUCUUGACGGUACCUAAUCAGAAAGCCACGGCUAACUACGUG
rnacentral:rRNA from 1 species